rnacentral:snRNA from 1 species
GGAUGUGAAGGCCACCCAGCCAUGACGUCUCUCACCCCAUUGACUUCCAGGCUUGAUUUGGACUAUCUGGCUGGCUUGGCUGUCCAGGCAAGCAUCCCCUUCCUCCCUCACUACUCUGUGUGCAUCCCUCCUGAAACGUGCCCUCAGCCUAAGAGAAUGACCUUCCCACACAGAGGAGAACUGUCCUUCAAUCAAGGGUGUGUGAGUAUUUGCACCCCUCUGCUAGAACCUCCAAACGGUCUCAGAAACAGAAGGAGGGCUGGAGAGAUGGCUCAGUGGCUAAGAACAUUUGUGCACAAUCAUUAGGACCAAGUACAGGACCUAGU